GGGGAUAGCUCAAGUGGUAGAGCACAUGCUUAGCAUGCACAAGGUCCUGGGUUCAAUCCCCUGUAUCUCCA
rnacentral:tRNA from 1 species